rnacentral:rRNA from 1 species
AGAUUGAACGCUGGCGGCAUGCCUUACACAUGCAAGUCGAACGGUAGAGUAGCAAUACUUGAGAGUGGCGAACGGGUGAGUAAUAUAUCGGAACGUGCCCAGUCGUGGGGGAUAACGUAGAGAAAUUUACGCUAAUACCGCAUACGAUCUAAGGAUGAAAGCGGGGGACCGUAAGGCCUCGCGCGAUUGGAGCGGCUGAUAUCAGAUUAGGUUGUUGGUGAGGUAAAGCUCACCAAGCCGACGAUCUGUAGCUGGUUUGAGAGAACGACCAGCCACACUGGGACUGAGACACGGCCCAGACCUCCGUACGGG